rnacentral:rRNA from 1 species
UCCGUAGGUGAACCUGCGGAAGGAUCAUUCAUAAUAAGUGUUUUAUGGCACUUUUUAAAUCCAUAUCCACCUUGUGUGCAAUGUCAGUCGAUCUUCUUCAUGGAGAUCGACCAAACAUCAACCUUUAUUUUUUAACUCUUUGUCUGAAAAAUAUUAUGAAUAAACAAUUCAAAAUACAACUUUCAACAACGGAUCUCUUGGCUCUCGCAUCGAUGAAGAACGCAGCGAAAUGCGAUACGUAAUGUGAAUUGCAGAAUUCAGUGAAUCAUCGAAUCUUUGAACGCAUAUUGCGCUCUUUGGUAUUCCGAAGAGCAUGCUUGUUUGAGUAUCAGUAAACACCUCAAAGCUUUUGGAUUUUUUAAUCGAAAAGCUUUGGACUUGAGCAAUCCCAACACCAAUCUUUUUGAGAUCGGUGGCGGGUUGCUUGAAAUGCAGGUGCAGCUGGACAUUCUCCUGAGCUAAAAGCAUAUUCAUUUAGUCCCGUCAAACGGAUUAUUACUUUUGCUGCAGCUAACAUAAAGGGAGUUUGACCGUAUUGGCUGACUGAUGCAGGAUUUCACAAGGGUCGGCAACGAUUCUUGUUAAACUCGAUCUCAAAUCAAGUAAGACUACCCGCUGAACUUAAGCAUAUCAAUAAGCGGAGGAA